AAUGGUGGUUCCAAUAAUAAAUGAUCCGAUUGUUGUUGCUGCUGUUGUUGUUGUACUUCUUGACAUUCAGAAGGUGGUAAAUGAGAAGUCAAAGACUGGCUACUACCUGUACCCUGGCUUCUGUCAGUUGAAUACGUAGAGCAAGCUCUUCUCUAAAAAAUACGUCAGGGUAGUGUGUCUUCUGAAAAGCUCUUUCCAGUUCUUCCAAUUGAAAAUUCGUAAACGUAGUACGGUACCUACGUUGCUUCCUUUUACCAACUCCAGACGAUUGCCUGUCUUCGCUUCCCGGGCUCGGCGAAAAAUCGUAUGCUGUAACGCAUCAUUGACAAUAUUACCAAGUUGUAUGAUCUUUACAAGGUAACUGAAUCAUUUUACUACGAAUUGAGACACGUUCGUAGAGAGUAUCAUUGCAAGUUGAGGGAUUCAUUCACGAUUCAAGCAUUGCUCCUCGCACUUAAUCACGCUGAAUUUACGUGGCGUAAAAUGGUUCAUAACGGUUAAACUGAUUACUACUAACUCUAUUUAAAACAAGGGUUGCCGAUUCACUUAAUGCAUUUAGCAAUAAUUUAAUUGAGGACUGCCCCAACUUACGGAGCCGACAGGUAGAGAGUGGCAGUUAAUUAAAUCAGGUCUGGGGUGGCAGGGUGCACUUACAGAAUUUUGUAGGAAAGCAAACCGAGGAAGAUUGAGCGCCUAUCAGACCAGCUAGAGCAGUCGACUGUAGAUCUCCUCCGGGGUUGAUCUCGUCGUGUGCCCCAGCAGAAGCUACGAUCGCUCCAGUAGAUACUAGAGGAUCACGCGGUGCACCCACUAAAAACAAUUGUCUGCCACUUUCGUUCGCACUUUCGUCUUCUUCUUUUAAAUCCAUUGUAAUAUUUGGCUUCCGUUGUUUAAUUAAUUAAAUAUCGAGUAGCCCAAGCAAGUGGUAGACUGGUGAAGGAUAGGCUAAUGGUAAUUGAAUCACUACCAGGUUGAGAAGUUCGUGUGGGUACCACCGCGACUCCGCAACUCUGCUAUUUCUUUUCUCUUUUCCUCCUUUUUUUCCUUACACCUGUGCAAUGUAGAUAGGGUAGGGGAUAGAGUAUAUUCAACGUGAACUCCCUCAAGAGGGGUAGUGAAGCCUCAAAAAUGUAUUGCUUAUACACCACGAAUCAAUAGCAUAGGUGUACACUCGAAAAAAAGUUAUAUGUAGCUUUUCUUUAUACGGCUCUAAGAAUUUAUGGAAAAUUAAAAAAAAAUAAUUGUAUAUUUAUAUCACAACAACCAAUUUUUUUAUCUCAAUUUAAUUCUUUAAUUACUGCAGAUUGCUUAUUUUAUUACGUAUUUUAAGAUACAUUAUCAGUUAUAAACUAAAACAU